UUAAGCGACUAAGCGUACACGGUGGAUGCCCUGGCAGUCAGAGGCGAUGAAGGACGUGCUAAUCUGCGAAAAGCGCCGGCGAGGUGAUAUGAACCUUUGACCCGGCGAUGUCCGAAUGGGGAAACCCAGUGCAAUCCGUUGCACUAUCGUUAACUGAAUACAUAGGUUAACGAGGCGAACCGGGGGAACUGAAACAUCUAAGUACCCCGAGGAAAAGAAAUCAACCGAGAUUCCCCCAGUAGCGGCGAGCGAACGGGGAGCAGCCCGGAGUCUGAAUCAGCUUGUGUGUUAGUGGAACGGUCUGGAAAGUCCGACGGUACAGGGUGAUAGUCCCGUACACGAAAGCACACUUGCUGUGAACUCGAAGAGUAGGGCGGGACACGUGGUAUCCUGUCUGAAUAUGGGGGGACCAUCCUCCAAGGCUAAAUACUCCUGACUGACCGAUAGUGAACCAGUACCGUGAGGGAAAGGCGAAAAGAACCCCGGCGAGGGGAGUGAAAAAGAACCUGAAACCGUGUACGUACAAGCAGUGGGAGCCUCUUUAUGGGGUGACUGCGUACCUUUUGUAUAAUGGGUCAGCGACUUAUAUUCUGUAGCAAGGUUAACCGUAUAGGGGAGCCGAAGGGAAACCGAGUCUUAACUGGGCGUUAAGUUGCAGGGUAUAGACCCGAAACCCGGUGAUCUAGCCAUGGGCAGGUUGAAGGUUGGGUAACACUAACUGGAGGACCGAACCGACUAAUGUUGAAAAAUUAGCGGAUGACCUGUGGCUGGGGGUGAAAGGCCAAUCAAACCGGGAGAUAGCUGGUUCUCCCCGAAAGCUAUUUAGGUAGCGCCUCGUGAACUCAUCUUCGGGGGUAGAGCACUGUUUCGGCUAGGGGGCCAUCCCGGCUUACCAACCCGAUGCAAACUACGAAUACCGAAGAAUGUUAUCACGGGAGACACACGGCGGGUGCUAACGUCCGUCGUGAAGAGGGAAACAACCCAGACCGCCAGCUAAGGUCCCAAAGUCAUGGUUAAGUGGGAAACGAUGUGGGAAGGCACAGACAGCCAGGAUGUUGGCUUAGAAGCAGCCAUCAUUUAAAGAAAGCGUAAUAGCUCACUGGUCGAGUCGGCCUGCGCGGAAGAUGUAACGGGGCUAAACCAUGCACCGAAGCUGCGGCAGCGACGCUUAUGCGUUGUUGGGUAGGGGAGCGUUCUGUAAGCCGUUGAAGGUGUGCUGUGAGGCAUGCUGGAGGUAUCAGAAGUGCGAAUGCUGACAUAAGUAACGAUAAAGCGGGUGAAAAGCCCGCUCGCCGGAAGACCAAGGGUUCCUGUCCAACGUUAAUCGGGGCAGGGUGAGUCGACCCCUAAGGCGAGGCCGAAAGGCGUAGUCGAUGGGAAACAGGUUAAUAUUCCUGUACUUGGUGUUACUGCGAAGGGGGGACGGAGAAGGCUAUGUCAGCCGGGCGACGGUUGUCCCGGUUUAAGCAUGUAGGCGGAGGUUCCAGGUAAAUCCGGUACCUUAUUAACGCUGAGGUGUGAUGACGAGGCACUACGGUGCUGAAGUGAUAAAUGCCCUGCUUCCAGGAAAAGCCUCUAAGCAUCAGGUAACACGAAAUCGUACCCCAAACCGACACAGGUGGUCAGGUAGAGAAUACCAAGGCGCUUGAGAGAACUCGGGUGAAGGAACUAGGCAAAAUGGUGCCGUAACUUCGGGAGAAGGCACGCUGAUAUGUAGGUGAAGUCCCUGCGGACGGAGCUGAAAUCAGUCGAAGAUACCAGCUGGCUGCAACUGUUUAUUAAAAACACAGCACUGUGCAAACACGAAAGUGGACGUAUACGGUGUGACGCCUGCCCGGUGCCGGAAGGUUAAUUGAUGGGGUUAGCGGCAACGCGAAGCUCUUGAUCGAAGCCCCGGUAAACGGCGGCCGUAACUAUAACGGUCCUAAGGUAGCGAAAUUCCUUGUCGGGUAAGUUCCGACCUGCACGAAUGGCGUAAUGAUGGCCAGGCUGUCUCCACCCGAGACUCAGUGAAAUUGAACUCGCUGUGAAGAUGCAGUGUACCCGCGGCAAGACGGAAAGACCCCGUGAACCUUUACUAUAGCUUGACACUGAACACUGGUCCUUGAUGUGUAGGAUAGGUGGGAGGCUUUGAAGCGUGGACGCCAGUCUGCGUGGAGCCAACCUUGAAAUACCACCCUUUAAUGGCUGGUGUUCUAACGUAGACCCGUAAUCCGGGUUGCGGACAGUGUCUGGUGGGUAGUUUGACUGGGGCGGUCUCCUCCCAAAGAGUAACGGAGGAGCACGAAGGUUGGCUAAUCCUGGUCGGACAUCAGGAGGUUAGUGCAAUGGCAUAAGCCAGCUUGACUGCGAGCGUGACGGCGCGAGCAGGUGCGAAAGCAGGUCAUAGUGAUCCGGUGGUUCUGAAUGGAAGGGCCAUCGCUCAACGGAUAAAAGGUACUCCGGGGAUAACAGGCUGAUACCGCCCAAGAGUUCAUAUCGACGGCGGUGUUUGGCACCUCGAUGUCGGCUCAUCACAUCCUGGGGCUGAAGUAGGUCCCAAGGGUAUGGCUGUUCGCCAUUUAAAGUGGUACGCGAGCUGGGUUUAGAACGUCGUGAGACAGUUCGGUCCCUAUCUGCCGUGGGCGCUGGAGAAUUGAGGGGGGCUGCUCCUAGUACGAGAGGACCGGAGUGGACGCAUCACUGGUGUUCGGGUUGUCAUGCCAAUGGCACUGCCCGGUAGCUAAAUGCGGAAAAGAUAAGUGCUGAAAGCAUCUAAGCACGAAACUUGCCCCGAGAUGAGUUCUCCCUGAGACUUUAAGUCUCCUGAAGGAACGUUGAAGACGACGACGUUGAUAGGUCGGGUGUGUAAGCGCAGCGAUGCGUUGAGCUAACCGAUACUAAUGAACCGUGAGGCUUAACCUU
rnacentral:rRNA from 1 species